UACGUAGGGGGCGAGCGUUGUCCGGAUUUAUUGGGCGUAAAGAGCGUGUAGGCGGCCAGGUAAGUCUGCUGUGAAAACUCGAGGCUCAACCUCGAGACGUCGGCGGAAACCAUCUGGCUAGAGUCCGGAAGAGGAGAGUGGAAUUCCUGGUGUAGCGGUGAAAUGCGCAGAUAUCAGGAAGAACACCCGUGGCGAAGGCGGCGCUCUGGGACGGUACUGACGCUGAGACGCGAAAGCGUGGGGAGCAAACAGG
rnacentral:rRNA from 1 species